rnacentral:rRNA from 1 species
UACGUAGGGUGCGAGCGUUAAUCGGAAUUACUGGGCGUAAAGCGUGCGCAGGCGGUUUUGCAAGCCAGAUGUGAAAUCCCCGGGCUCAACCUGGGAACUGCAUUUGUGACUGCAUCGCUGGAGUGCGGCAGAGGGGGAUGGAAUUCCGCGUGUAGCAGUGAAAUGCGUAGAUAUGCGGAGGAACACCGAUGGCGAAGGCAAUCCCCUGGGCCUGAACUGACGCUCAUGCACGAAAGCGUGGGGAGCAAACAGG